UCUCUCUGUGGCUCAGUUGGUUAGAGCGCUGCACCGGAAUCAAAGAGCUGCAGGUUCGAUUCCUGUCAGAAGAC